AACAUGUUAGGUUAAUUCUGCUCAAUGAAUUAUUUUAAAUGGCCGCAGUAAACUGACUGUGCUAAGGUAGCAUAAUAAAUUGGCCUUUAAUUGGGGUCUGGUAUGAACGGAAUAAUAUGAGAUAUCUGUCUUAAUUAUAUUAUUAUUAACUUACUUAAUAGGUGAAAAUUCCUAUAAACAAUACCGAAGGACGAUAAGACCCUUAGAAUUAUUAAAAGUGAAUAAUCAAUAGUUAUACAUACUUUUUGUUGGGGCGACAUAUUAUCAUUUAACAUAAUGUAAAUAUCUAUAUAACAAGACUAAUAUUCUUAGUAAGAUUUAAUUACCUGAGGGAUAACAGCAUAAUAUUAUAUAUGUUUAUGACCUCGAUGUUGGACUAGGUAAGUUUUUAACUAGCAGUUACUAACUAGUGUUCUGUUCGAACAUUCAAC
rnacentral:rRNA from 1 species